rnacentral:other from 1 species
AAACUCCUGCGGUGUGCGUUGUUUUACAUUAUAUUUAACCACAAAGCUUAAAAGGGAAUGGCGCGUAUCGGUCGCCUAUGCCGGGCCUCAAAACCGCAAGGUUUAUCCCCGGAUUCGUUCGGCGAACAGUGGAAGGCAGAAGCACCGAUCAGCUUGCCCACCUGCCGAUUGGCGGGUUAAGAUUAUUGUAAAACAAACGGCAUUGCGGGUCUAUU